rnacentral:rRNA from 1 species
UACGGGGGGAGCAAACGUUGUUCGGAAUUACUGGGCGUAAAGGGCGCGUAGGCGGUCCUGUAAGUGGUGUGUGAAAUCCGAUGGCUCAACCAUCGAGCUGCGCUCCAUACUGCAGGACUUGAGUACAGCAGAGGAAAGUGGAAUUCCCGGUGUAGCGGUGAAAUGCGCAGAUAUCAGGAGGAACACCGGUGGCGAAGGCGCUCUGCUAGGCCGCAACUGACACUGAGGGACGAAAGCUAGGGGAGCGAAUGGG